CACCGCGGUUAUACGAGAGGCCCAAGUUGACAGACACCGGCGUAAAGAGUGGUUAAGUUAAAAUUUACACUAAAGCCGAACAUCCUCAAGGCUGUUAUACGCACCCGAAGAUAAGAAGUUCAACCACGAAGGUGGCUUUAUUUGUCUGAACCCACGAAAGCUAUGGCA
rnacentral:rRNA from 1 species